rnacentral:rRNA from 1 species
CCUACGGGAGGCAGCAGUGGGGAAUCUUGCGCAAUGGGCGAAAGCCUGACGCAGCCAUGCCGCGUGAAUGAUGAAGGUCUUAGGAUUGUAAAAUUCUUUCACCAGGGACGAUAAUGACGGUACCCGGAGAAGAAGCCCCGGCUAACUUCGUGCCAGCAGCCGCGGUAAUACGAAGGGGGCUAGCGUUGCUCGGAAUUACUGGGCGUAAAGGGAGCGUAGGCGGAUAGUUUAGUCAGAGGUGAAAGCCCAGGGCUCAACCUUGGAAUUGCCUUUGAUACUGGCUAUCUUGAGUGUGGGAGAGGUAUGUGGAACUCCGAGUGUAGAGGUGAAAUUCGUAGAUAUUCGGAAGAACACCAGUGGCGAAGGCGACAUACUGGCCCAUUACUGACGCUGAGGCUCGAAAGCGUGGGGAGCAAACAGGAUUAGAUACCCUGGUAGUCCACGCUGUAAACGAUGAGUGCUAGUUGUCGGCAUGCAUGCAUGUCGGUGACGCAGCUAACGCAUUAAGCACUCCGCCUGGGGAGUACGGUCGCAAGAUUAAAACUCAAAGGAAUUGACGG